GGCCCAAUGGUCUAGAGGUAAGAUACUUGCUUUGGGUGUUAGGAGUCAAUCCUAGGCGCACAUGCAAGGGAUCCUGGGUUCAAUUCCCAGUUGGGCCC